rnacentral:rRNA from 1 species
CAGUGACUCUUUAAACGGCCGCGGUAUCCUAACCGUGCAAAGGUAGCAUAAUCACUUGUCCCCUAAAUAGGGACUGGAAUGAACGGCUAAAUGAGGACAAAGCUGUCUCUUACGGCCUAGCCAAUGAAAUUGAUCCUCCAGUACAAAAGCUGGAAUAAACUCAUAAGACGAGAAGACCCUGUGGAGCUUUAAAACCAAGAUCAUUAAACUAUGCUCCUUGGAUUUUUAGUUGGGGCGACUUUGGAGCAAAAAAAACCCUCCAAAACAUAAAUUUAAUUAUUUAGACCAACACACCAAGAAAAUUAUAUUAGACCCAGCAGUAUUUUUUACUGUCUGACCAAUGAACCAAGUUACCCCAGGGAUAACAGCGCUAUCCUCUUCUAGAGUCCCUAUCGACAGG